AACGAACGCUGGCGGCAUGCCUAACACAUGCAAGUCGAACGAGACCUUCGGGUCUAGUGGCGCGCGGGUGCGUAACGCGUGGGAACCUGCCCUUAGGUUCGGAAUAACUCCUCGAAAGGGGUGCUAAUACCGGAUAAUGUCUUCGGACCAAAGAUUUAUCGUCUUUGGAUGGGCCCGCGUUGGAUUAGCUAGUUGGUAGGGUAAAAGCCUACCAAGGAGAAGAUCCAUAGCUGGGCUGAGAGGAUGAUCAGCCACACUGGGACUGGGACACGGCCCAGACUCCUACGGGAGGCAGCAGUGGGGAAUAUUGGACAAUGGGCGAAAGCCUGAUCCAGCAAUGCCGCGUGAGUGAUGAAGGCCUUAGGGUUGUAAAGCUCUUUUACCCGGGAUGAUAAUGACAGUACCGGGAGAAUAAGCUCCGGCUAACUCCGUG
rnacentral:rRNA from 1 species